ACAGAGAGUGCUUGUACUCUGCUGACGACCGGCGCACGGGUGCGUAACUCCUAUGCAACCUACCUUUUACAGGGGAAUAGCCCAGAGAAAUUUGGAAUAAUACCCCAUACGAUCAUUUAUUGGCAUCAAUAGAUGAAGAAAACUCCGGUGGUAAAAGAUGGGCAUGCGUCCUAUUAGUUAGUUGGUGAGGUAAUGGCUUACCAAGACACCGAUAGGUAGGGGUCCUGAGAGGGAGAUCCCCCACACUGGUACUGAGACACGGACCAGACUCCUACGGGAGGCAGCAGUGAGGAAUAUUGGACAAUGGAGGCAACUCUGAUCCAGCCAUGCCGCGUGCAGGAAGAAGGCCCUACGGGUUGUAAACUGCUUUUAUACAGGAAGAAUUCUACCUACGUGUAGGUAUUUGACGGUACUGUAAGAAUAAGGAUCGGCUA
rnacentral:rRNA from 1 species